rnacentral:rRNA from 1 species
CAAUAGCGUAUAUUAAAGUUGUUGCAGUUAAAAAGCUCGUAGUUGGAUUUGUGGCGUACGGUGUGUUCCGGGCACUUGUUGUCUGAGUAACCUGCUGUUGCCAUCCUUGGGUGGAACCUGUGUGGCAUUAGGUUGUCGUGCAGGGGAUGCCCAUCAUUUACUGUGAAAAAAUUAGAGUGUUCAAAGCAGGCUUAUGCCGUUGAAUAUAUUAGCAUGGAAUAAUGAGAUAGGACUUUUUUGCUAUUUUGUUGGUUUGCGCAACGAGGUAAUGAUUAAUAGGGACAGUUGGGGGUAUUCGUAUUCCAUUGUCAGAGGUGAAAUUCUUGGAUUUUUGGAAGACGAACUACUGCGAAAGCAUUUACCAAGGAUGUUUUCAUUAA